AGCAUUCGAAAGAAUAGGUUAUCAUGGUGUGCUGCACUCAUAGCUCAUUGGGAAAGAUCCCUUUGCUGUUUGCGAAUUACUCAGACUAUACUCUUUGCGGCCACAUACCUCGCUAAUAUCACUUUUUCACUAUAUCGAUUCAAACAAAGUCGGUAUUAAAGUUCAGGUGCAUCGUGGUCCCGGAUCGUUGUGUUUUAUUUUCUAUUAAAUGGUUUAAUCAGAAGUCCAGUUUCCGCGUUUGCGAUUACAGAACCCGACCAUACUUUAUUUACAAUAUGUAAUCUGAUAACGAGUGCAGAUUCGGAUAAACAUGUAAUUGCUGAAAUCAUAUGAAUACAACGGUGGAUCAAUAACCUGGCCAGGGCAUAUACUGUAGCUUGUGUGCAUUGCUGAAACCGUAAAGGAAUACAUAUUUUUGCGUAUCAGUGAUAGACCUUUAACCCGGUUGCAUAUAGUGUCUACUCGUUGCUUGUAAUUGCUAUUCAUGGGGGUCUUAGUCAUGGAUUCCACGACAACGACGUCCUCAACCGACUCCAAACUCGACGAUGACCUCAAACUCACAAUCAUCUUCUCUGUGAUCGCUGUCGUGUGCUUCAUCUCUCUUAUCAUGCUCCUUUACUACAUCACAAGAACUGCGAGACGACAAUUCAAAGAGGCAGAGAAAAAACUCGCCAAAGAAAAAGAAAGAAUUCAAUAUGAAAGAUAUCAGGAAAGAGCAACACUGCGAGGUGGGGGUUUUCCAAGUGUAACAAGUGCAGAUAGAACUGAUAUUUUUGUUAUAAAUGAUUCAUCAAAAGACUCGCAUUUAAGAAGACUGUGAUGGGAUCUCUUGGGCUCAAUAAUGAUCUCAGUAGUAUAGGCCUAUAGAUGGGCUUGUUUCAGAUGGGCUAAAAAUAAUAUAGCCCAUCUGUUCUUCCCCGAGGUCCCUGGAAAUAAAUAUCUUGAAUUAACAUUACAAUUUCAAUGACAACUUCAAAUUAAAAUGAAGAGAUAUAAAAGUUAAGGUGCAUGAACUUGCAGUGCAAGCUCAGAUACCCCCACCCAUGAAAUCAUCAGUACACAGUUUUGAUUUUUUUUCUAGGAUUUCUCUUUUAUAGGUUGAAAAGUUGUUUAAUUUUUGUAUGUUAAGAGUUAGAUUGUUGUAUAAUGUACCACAACGAUAUAUGAAUGUACGCUUACAUUUUUCAGUCUUUGGUUUAGGCAUUAUAACUUGAUUUCCUAAUAUGUGGGGUACCUCAGUGUCGUAAAAAUAUUUUUUUCUUUUUAAAUGGGCAGGAGACAUAUCAUGAUAUAUUUUUAUAUAAUAAACAAUUAGUAUG